GAAGCUGACGGGACAGUCGCCGUUUCUUCGUCUUCCUCUGCGGGGUAGACGGCCGGAGGGGAAGAAAGUCAGGGCCCCAUAGGGGAGGGUGCCAGGUAACGCGUGGGGGGGAACCCCACGACCAGUGCAACAGAGAGAAAUCCGCCGAUGGCCCGCGCAAGCGGGAUCAGGUAAGGGUGAAAGGGUGCGGUAAGAGCGCACCGCGCGGCUGGUAACAGUCCGUGGCACGGUAAACUCCACCCGGAGCAAGGCCAAAUAGGGGUUCAUAAGGUACGGCCCGUACUGAACCCGGGUAGGCUGCUUGAGCCAGUGAGCGAUUGCUGGCCUAGAUGAAUGACUGUCCACGACAGAACCCGGCUUAUCGGUCAGUUUC
rnacentral:RNase_P_RNA from 1 species